AUUGAACGCUGGCGGCAUGCCUUACACAUGCAAGUCGAACGGCAGCACGGGAGCUUGCUCCUGGUGGCGAGUGGCGAACGGGUGAGUAAUACAUCGGAACGUGCCCUGAAGUGGGGGAUAACGUAGCGAAAGUUACGCUAAUACCGCAUAUUCUGUGAGCAGGAAAGCAGGGGAUCGUAAGACCUUGUGCUUUAGGAGCGGCCGAUGUCGGAUUAGCUAGUUGGUGGGGUAAAGGCCUACCAAGGCGACGAUCCGUAGCGGGUCUGAGAGGAUGAUCCGCCACACUGGAACUGAGACACGGUCCAGACUCCUACGGGAGGCAGCAGUGGGGAAUUUUGGACAAUGGGCGCAAGCCUGAUCCAGCCAUGCCGCGUGAGUGAAGAAGGCCUUCGGGUUGUAAAGCUCUUUCGGCGGGGAAGAAAUUGCGUGGGUUAAUACCCUGCGUAGAUGACGGUACCCGCAUAAGAAGCACCGGCUAACUACGUG
rnacentral:rRNA from 1 species